AAACAUCUUUUCUUGUUAGUUUUUGAAGUAUGGCCUGCCCGCUGACAUUGAGUGUUGAAGGGCCGCGGUAUUUUGACCGUGCAAAGGUAGCAUAAUCAUUAGUUCUUUAAUUGUGAUCUGGAAUGAAUGGCUUGACGAGACACGAGCUGUCUUAAUGUUGAAUGUUUUAUUGAAUUUGGUCUUUGAGUUAAAAUUCUUAGAUGUUUUUAUGGGACGAGAAGACCCUAUAGAGUUUGACAUUUGGUUUAUUUAUUUGUUGGUUGUUUGUUUAUUUUGUUGGUGAGUAGGCUUUUUGUUUUGUUGGGGUGAUGAGAGGAAUGUAGUUAACUCUUCUUUAUUUUGAUUAUAUUUAUUUAUAGUUAUUUGAUCCAUUUAUUUUGAUUAUAAGACUAAAUUACCUUAGGGAUAACAGCGUAAA
rnacentral:rRNA from 1 species